rnacentral:rRNA from 1 species
GGGGAAUAUUGGGCAAUGGGCGCAAGCCUGACCCAGCAACGCCGCGUGAAGGAAGAAGGCUUUCGGGUUGUAAACUUCUUUUGGCAGGGACGAAAUAAAUGACGGUACCUGCAGAAUAAGCUCCGGCUAACUACGUGCCAGCAGCCGCGGUAAUACGUAGGGAGCAAGCGUUAUCCGGAUUUACUGGGUGUAAAGGGCGCGUAGGCGGGACUGCAAGUCAGAUGUGAAAUCUGGGGGCUCAACCCCCAAACUGCAUUUGAAACUGUGGUUCUUGAGUGAUGGAGAGGCAAGUGGAAUUCCUAGUGUAGCGGUGAAAUGCGUAGAUAUUAGGAGGAACACCAGUGGCGAAGGCGACUUGCUGGACAUUAACUGACGCUGAGGCGCGAAAGCGUGGGGAGCAAAC